AAAACGCUGGCGGGAUGCUUUACACAUGCAAAAGUCGAACGGCAGCACGGACUUCGGUCUGGUGGCGAGUGGCGAACGGGUGAGUAAUGUAUCGGAACGUGCCUAGUAGCGGGGGGAUAAUCACGCCAGCAGCUUAAUACCGCAUACGCCCUUCGGGGAAAGCGGGGACCUUUCUCUGGCCCGCACUAUUAGAGCGGCCGAUAUCGGAUUAGCUAGUUGGUGGGGUAACGGCUCAACAAGGCGACGAUCCGGGGGCUGCCUGAGAGGACGACCAGCCACACUGGGACUGAGACACGGCCCAGACUCCUACGGGAGGCAGCAGUGGGGAAUUUGGACAAUGGGGAAACCCUGAUCCAGCCAUCCCGCGUGUGCGAUGAAGGCUUUCGGGUUGUAAAGCACUUUUUGGCAGGAAAGAAACGGCACGGGAUAAUACCCCGUGCAACUGACGGUACCCGCAGAAUAAGCACCGGCUAACUACGUGCCAGCAGCCGCGGUAAUACGAAGUGCAAGCGUUAAUCGGAAUUACUGGGCGUAAAGCGUGCGCAGGCGGUUCGGAAAGAAAGAUGAAAUCCCAGAGCUUAACUUUGAACUGCAUUUUUAACUACCGAGCUAGAGCAGGUCAGAGGGAGGUGGAAUUCCGCGUGUAGCAGUGAAAUGCGUAGAUAUGCGGAGGAACACCGAUGGCGAAGGCAGCCUCCUGGGAUAACACUGACGCUCAUGCACGAAAGCGUGGGAGCAAACAGGAUUAGAUACCCUGGUAGUCCACGCCCUAAACGAUGUCAACUAGCUGUUGGGGCCUUCGGGCCUUGGUAGCGCAGCUAACGCGUGAAGUUGACCGCCUGGGAGACACGUAAGAUUAAAACUCAAAGGAAUUGACGGGGACUGCGUACGCGGUGGAUGAUGUGAUUAAUUCGAUGCAACGCGAAAACCUUACCUACCCUUGACAUGUCUGGAAUCCCGAAGAGAUUUGGGAGUGCUCGCAAGAGAACCGGAACACAGGUGCUGCAUGGCUGUCGUCAGCUCGUUGAUGAUGUUGGGUUAAGUCCUGCAACGAGCGCAACCCUUGUCAUUAGUUGCUACGAAAGGGCACUCUAAUGAGACUGCCGGUGACAAACCGAGGAAGGUGGGGAUGACGUCAAGUCCUCAUGGCUCUUGCGGUAGGGCUUCACACGUCAUACAAUGGUCGGGACAGAGGGUCGCCAACCCGCGAGGGGGAGCCAAUCCCAGAAACCCGAUCGUAGUCCGGAUCGCAGUCUGCAACUCGACUGCGUGAAGUCGGAAUCGCUAGUAAUCGCGGAUCAGCAUGUCGCGGUGAAUACGUUCCCGGGUCUUGUACACACCGCCCGUCACACCAUGGGAGUGGGUUUUACCAGAAGUGCAUGGCCUCCAACCGUAAGGAGUGGCGAUUACCACGGUAGGAUUCAUGACUGGGGUGAAGUCAACAAGGUAA
rnacentral:rRNA from 1 species